rnacentral:rRNA from 1 species
UGAGUAACACGUAGGGAACCUGCCCCUAAGACGAGGAUAACUACUGGAAACGGUAGCUAAUACUGGAUAGGAUAAGUUGACGCAUGUUGGCUUAUUUAAAGGUGCCUAUAAAGCACCGCUUAGGGAUGGCCCUGCGGCGCAUUAGCUAGUUGGUGGGGUAACGGCCCACCAAGGCGACGAUGCGUAGCUGUGCUGAGAGGCAGAACAGCCACACUGGGACUGAGACACGGCCCAGACUCCUACGGGAGGCAGCAGUAGGGAAUUUUCGGCAAUGGGGGGAACCCUGACCGAGCGAUGCCGCGUGAGUGAUGAAGGUCUUCGGACUGUAAAACUCUGUUAUUAGGGAAGAAUACUAUAGGGAGGAAAUGCCUUAUAGAUGACGGUACCUAAUGAGGAAGCCCCGGCCAACUAUGUGCCAGCAGCCGCGGUAAUACAUAGGGGGCGAGCGUUAUCCGGAAUUACUGGGCGUAAAGGGUGCGUAGGCGGUUUCUUAAGUCUAGUGUGAA